GAUGAACGCUAGCUACAGGCUUAACACAUGCAAGUCGAGGGCAGCACUAGGUAGCAAUACUGAGGUGGCGACCGGCGCACGGGUGCGUAACGCGUAUCCAACCUUCCCGUUACUCUUGGAUAGCCUUCCGAAAGGGAGAUUAAUACAAGAUGGUAUUCAAAUUCCGCAUGUUAUUUGAAUUAAAGAUUUAUCGGUAACGGAUGGGGAUGCGUGACAUUAGAUAGUAGGCGGGGUAACGGCCCACCUAGUCUACGAUGUCUAGGGGUUCUGAGAGGAAGGUCCCCCACACUGGAACUGAGACACGGUCCAGACUCCUACGGGAGGCAGCAGUGAGGAAUAUUGGUCAAUGGUCGGAAGACUGAACCAGCCAAGUAGCGUGAAGGAUGAAGGUUCUAUGGAUUGUAAACUUCUUUUAUACGGGAAUAAAACCUCCCACGUGUGGGAGCUUGUAUGUACCGUAUGAAUAAGCAUCGGCUAACUCCGUG
rnacentral:rRNA from 1 species